rnacentral:misc_RNA from 1 species
GCGUCAGAUGUGUAUAAGAGACAGGUGAGUCAUCGAAUCUUUGAACGCACAUUGCGCCCCGUGGUAUUCCGCGGGGCAUGCCUGUUCGAGCGUCAUUUCAACCCUCAAGCUCUGCUUGGUAUCGGGCCGCACCGGCGACGGUGGGCCUCAGAAUCAGUGGCGGUGCCGUCUGGCUCUAAGCGUAGUAAUUCUCCUCGCUAUAGACGUCUGGCGGUGUCCGGCCAGCACCCCCCAUUCUUAUGGUUGACCUCGGAUCAGGUAGGGAUACCCGCUGAACUUAAGCAUAUCAAUAAGCGGAGG